rnacentral:rRNA from 1 species
UCGAGCGGCAGCGNGUACUUCGNUCNUGCGGCGAGCGGGCGGGACGGGUGAGUAAUGNCUNNUNUUAUCUGCCUGGUAGUGGGGGAUAACGCUCGGAAACGGACGCUAAUACCGCAUACGUCCUACGGGAGAAAGCGGGGGACCUUCGGGCCUUGCGCUAUCAGAUGAGCCUAGGUCGGAUUAGCUAGUUGGUGAGGUAAUGGCUCACCAAGGCGACGAUCCGUAACUGGUCUGAGAGGAUGAUCAGUCACACUGGAACUGAGACACGGUCCAGACUCCUACGGGAGGCAGCAGUGGGGAAUAUUGGACAAUGGGCGAAAGCCUGAUCCAGCCAUGCCGCGUGUGUGAAGAAGGUCUUCGGAUUGUAAAGCACUUUAAGUUGGGAGGAAGGGCAGUUACCUAAUACGUAUCUGUUUUGACGUUACCGACAGAAUAAGCACCGGCUAACUCUGUGCCAGCAGCCGCGGUAAUACAGAGGGUGCAAGCGUUAAUCGGAAUUACUG